ACUGGCAAGAUUUUGUGGGUAUCAUUACGCUGCUUUUCAUCAAUUCAACUAUCAGUUUCAUCGAGGAGAACAAUGCGGGUAAUGCGGCGGCGGCUCUCAUGGCUCGCCUCGCUCCAAAAGCAAAGGUUCUCCGAGUGGCAGGUGGAAUGAGCAAGAUGCCUCGGUUCUGGUUCCUGGUGACAUAGUCAGUAUUAAACUUGGGGAUAUUAUUCCAGCUGAUGCACGUCUACUCGAGGGGGAUCCAUUGAAAAUUGAUCAAUCUGCUCUUACUGGAGAGUCCUUGCCAGUUACGAAGGGACCUGGUGAUGGUGUAUAUUCUGGUUUAAAUGCAAACAAGGAGAGAUUGAAGCUGUGGUCAUCGCCAC